GGCUCCAGCCCGGCUCUGGGCAGGUUGUGAAAGGCUGGGCUUGCUCCCCCGCCCACCGUCUGCCCGUCGUCCUUGAGGGGGCGGUAACUGUAGGAUCAGAUGGCCCUGGACUGGUCACCCGACCCAGCGUUCUCACCUGUGCAAGAGGACAGGCCUCGGGACAGGCCCGGCGUGCAGCAAGCACUCCGUAAGGGUGAGCUCCGUAAGGGUGAGCUCCGUAAGGCUCUUUCCCCUGCCUUCCCGGCUCCUCGCACAACUGUCAUCAGCAGCCCCGCCUCGCCGUCCGCCGCCGCAGGAGUCUCCUAACUCCAACAAUGAGCCACCCCGGGACGCGGGGGAAGGGCCUGGAACGCCGGCCGUGGCCCCAGCUCCCAGCCAAGCUUUCUGAGGCCUUCAAGCGGGGAGAAAGCCAAUCCUGAUCCUGUGAGCACAGUGGGGUCCUGUGGUUUGAGCACAGGCAGACAGCUGGGUUCGAAUCCCACCGCCUCCAUGUGAGCUUGGGGGUCACCCUCCACCUGGAGCCUCGCCUGCUGAAUGGGGCUGCUGAGAGGGCAGGAAUGGGCAGUCUACGUGGAGGUGCUGAGCCGGCGGCCGGUGUGUGAAAAAUGCUUGUGACACAGUGGCACUUAGUCUUAGUUUCCCUUUCCCAAAGGAACCUUAGCAUCUCAGAGCUGGGGGAGGCCUUUUCUGUUUACAAGGAAACUGAGGGCAGCCAGGGGACAGGGUUGUUUUAGGUCAUGUGGCCAGCAGAGGGCGGCGCUGGGGACAGAGGAGGGGCUUCUUGUCUGUGAGCUGUUGAGGUGUUAAAAUAGCAGGGUGUGGCCGUGGGGGUCUGGGGCUGCCCACAGGAUCGGGGCAAAGAUGUUUUCCGUGUACAGGCAUGAUCGAAAACUAUGGUGAGUGUUUACAUAUUUUAAAAUAUGCAUUACAUUGAAAGACUCAUUGCCAUGAAUUCACUUCAGGACCUUCCCCCUUGAUUUAGUCACUGGAUGCUGCUCCCAUCCUCCCUGCCUUUUCCACAGCAGCUCUGGAAGCCCUCUUCCAUCAGUGUCUACUUGC